rnacentral:rRNA from 1 species
GACGAACGCUGGCGGCGUGCUUAACACAUGCAAGUCGAGCGGAGCGGCGAACGGGUGAGUAACGCGUGAGUAACUGCCCCCCUCCCUGGGAUAACAGUUGGAAACGGCAGCUAAUACCGGAUAGUGGGGGAUGACUCGCGGCCUAUCAGCUUGUGGGUGGGGUAGUGGCCUCCCAAGGCGACGACGGGGAGCCGGCCUGAGAGGGCGACCGGGCACAUUGGGCUAAGAUACGGCCCAGGCGCCUACGGGGGGCAGCAGUGGGGAAUAUUGCGCAAUGGGGGAAACGCUAAUGCAGAAACGCCGCGUGCGGGAUGACGGCUUUCGGGUUGUAAACCGCUUUAAGCUAUGACGCGGUAGUGGCAGAAGAAGCACCGGCUAACUACGUGCCAGCAGCCGCGGUAAUAC